rnacentral:rRNA from 1 species
CCCAGACUCCUACGGGAGGCAGCAGUGGGGGAUAUUGCACAAUGGGGGAAACCCUGAUGCAGCGACGCCGCGUGGGCGAAGAAGUAUUUCGGUAUGUAAAGCCCUAUCAGCAGGGAAGAAGAAAUGACGGUAACUGACUAAGAAGCCCCGACUAACUACGUGCCAGCAGCCGCGGUAAUACGUAGGGGGCAAGCGUUAUCCGGAUUUACUGGGUGUAAAGGGAGCGUAGACGGCGAUGCAAGUCUGAAGUGAAAGGCGGGGGCCCAACCCCCGGACUGCUUUGGAAACUGUAUAGCUGGAGUGCAGGAGAGGUAAGUGGAAUUCCUAGUGUAGCGGUGAAAUGCGUAGAUAUUAGGAGGAGCACCGGUGGCGAAGGCGGCCUGCUGGACUGUAACUGACGUUGAGGCUCGAAAGCGUGGGGAGCAAACAGGAUUAGAUACCCCGGUA